UAUCGGCACUCUCGCGACGAUAAACUGUUAACCCCGUCAGGCCCGGAAGGGAGCAGCGGCAGCAGUGGAUUCGGGCGCCGGGAUGCGGCUGGUACGG
rnacentral:SRP_RNA from 1 species